CCCCGCAGGUCCGAUCUACUCGCGCGAAAAGUUUCUUCCUUUGAAUAUAAAUAUGCGUGUGUCAAGUGCAGGGGACGAUGACACGAGCCUUCCCUCUGUGGUCCUACAGGCCAGGCAACCACCCCGGACCGGGCACAGCCCCGGGCCGGUCGGCUCGGGGCUGUUGCCCGGCUCGGGGCUGUGCCCGGCCCGGGGCAGGUCGAUAAUGGCAGCAAAAUGCGGUUACCUGAGGCAGAAGGUACGACUUGAAGCGACAGCAGAUUCUCUUGAUGAUGAUGUAGAUGUGGCUGAAGAUGAUCAUGGGUGGAGGCAGGACAGGCCUGUCGUGGAAUGUCAUGAUCAGCUGGUACCGCUGGAACUUCCACACUUGGUUGGAUAUUGAUUUUACCUCAAAGAAGGUGUAGAAAAGAAGAACAUUGGUGAUUCAUGAAAUGGAAACAUCCCUGAAAACAGAGAGAUACAUGAAUGGGAGUAAAAAUGCAUGAGCUCAUUGCCUGUGCUGUGAGUUGGAGAUGAAAGGAUAUGUGUAUUUUAACCUCCUGUGCAAGGUAUUUAUUUUUUUCUUCUUCUGUUGGAACUAUUAGUAAAACUUUGGUUCAAAAGAACAUUUCAAAAUGAUUUCUGUUGAUCCCUGCAAGUAAACCGGGAUCUUAACACUGUUAUACUCUUGGACAGGAGAAUAAUCCAGACUAUACCACUUUCAGUGUGAACUGAAUUUGAAUAUAAACUGAGAGGCAAGACAUGCAGGCGGGGAACAGAAAAUUGUUCAGUCUCAGGUGUGUCACAAGAAAACAACAACUAUAUAACCAUAAAGAGAAAACACUACUUCCAAAUUAAAAGAAAAAAUCUUUAAUUUGGAUCUGAUCAUCUGCCUCAGAAACAGGAAACAGACUCUUACUAUGAAUUCUACUCUUACGGUCUAUCUGGUCUGCGAACACCUCUCCGUAGAUCAUCCAGUAGGGCAUGUAGAAGAUGUUCCGGGCCAGCCUCCAGGAGGGCUCCUCAUCGGGGUGCAGGAUGGCCUGGCGGGCCACCCCAAAGCUCAUCAGCACCACGAGCAUGAUGACCACGAAGUAGAGCAUGUCAAUCAUCUGCAUGGACAGAGCACAGGAGGCUCUGGUCAGCCCCGGGUGGCACAGCAGCACCAGCAGGGCUGUGUGCCAGCACACAUGGAACAAGGGAGCACCAGGAGAGAAUCUCCCUCACAGUGACUUUCUACUGCUCAUGAAUUAAGCAUACAUAAAAAUGCAGAAAACCCCAGCUGUUUAAAGGAAUAAGAAUUAUAUUUAUUAUUUUAAUAUUAUUUUUAAUAAUUAUUAUUUUAUUAUUAUACUUAAAAUGCUAAAGUCUUUGC